rnacentral:rRNA from 1 species
UGGGGAAUAUUGGACAAUGGGCGAAAGCCUGAUCCAGCAACGCCGCGUGAGGGAUGACGGCCUUCGGGUUGUAAACCUCUUUCAGUAUCGACGAAGCGCCCUGUCGGGUGGUGACGGUAGAUACAGAAGAAGGACCGGCCAACUACGU